rnacentral:rRNA from 1 species
CCCUUAGAUGUUCUGGGCCGCACGCGCGCUACACUGACCAGUGCAACAAGCAUCCGUCCUUGGCCGACAGGCCCGGGCAAUCUUUGAACGCUGAUCGUGAUGGGGAUAGACUUUUGCAAUUUUUGGUCUUCAACGAGGAAUUCCUAGUAAACGCAAGUCAUCAACUUGCAUUGAUUACGUCCCUGCCCUUUGUACACACCGCCCGUCGCACCUACCGAUUGAAUGGUCCGGUGAAGCCUCCGGAUUGGCGCGCACCUCGGUGCCGCCGAGAAGUUGGCUAAACCUUACCAUUUAGAGGAAGGUGAAGUCGUAACA